GACGAACGCUGGCGGCGUGCCUAAUACAUGCAAGCCGAGCGGACCGAAGGGAGCUUGCUCCUUUAGGUUAGCGGCGGACGGGUGAGUAACACGUGGGCAACCUGCCCUGCAGACUGGGAUAACUUCGGGAAACCGGAGCUAAUACCGGAUAACACCGAAAACCGCAUGGUUUUCGGUUGAAAGGCGGCUUUUAGCUGUCACUGCAGGAUGGGCCCGCGGCGCAUUAGCUAGUUGGUGAGGUAACGGCUCACCAAGGCGACGAUGCGUAGCCGACCUGAGAGGGUGACCGGCCACACUGGGACUGAGACACGGCCCAGACUCCUACGGGAGGCAGCAGUAGGGAAUCUUCCGCAAUGGACGAAAGUCUGACGGAGCAACGCCGCGUGAGCGAAGAAGGUCUUCGGAUCGUAAAGCCCUGUUGUCAGGGAAGAACAAGUACCGUUCGAAUAGGGCGGUACCUUGACGGUACCUGACGAGGAAGCCACGGCUAACUACGUGCCAGCCGCCGCAGUAA
rnacentral:rRNA from 1 species